GAUCGUAUCACAGUUGGAACAAGUUCGUGAUUUUGUUUGUCCUAACAUUUUAACAUUUUAGAAAAUUGAGUGUGCGUGUGUGUGAGCUCUUUUUGUUCUGGGUAGAACAAAGGAGGAUAGAAAAUUUUCAUCCCAUUUUAAGAGUGUUCUUCUUUUUAUUUAUUCAGUGCGGUGAAUUUGCCGAAGGUUUGUGAAGGUGCUUAUUGGCGGCGGAGGACGUUCACGUUCUGUCUGCUGAACUUCCGGGUGAAAUCCUCGGUGCUUUUCAACAAGGUCGGAGUUCUGGUAUAGGAGAGCCGGAAUUCUGGUGAAGUGCGUCGGCUUUUUCUGCUGUCAGAACGACGGUGCUUCAGCCCAGGAGCAAAGGUUUGGUAACCUUGGUGGUGUUGGCUGGAAGCGGGGAAAUCCUCGCUCAUAGAGAUCAGCUGCGACCAUACCGGGCUCGUGAGGAAGCGAGGACAAAUAUCCUAAUUCCGACGGCAUCCGGUGCAAACAUGAACCUGGAGCAACCAGCGACGCUGAGAGCGUCCGGAAGCGCAGACGAGGAUGGAGAUUUCAGUGGAUACUCGAACGCCGAGCUGGCUAGGGCCAGAAAAAGAAAAGUCGAUGCGGCUCAAUUGCCGGAAGUGUGCUUAAGACGUUCAAAACGUUUGCGUAAACCUAAACAGGAUUUCGAAUUUAAAUAUGUUUAACUUUGGUUUUUUUUUCAUGUCGUUGAAUUGCGAUUUCGGAUUUAUAUAGAGAAAUGUAUUUUGAUCAGAAUUAAAAUGAAUUGAUUUUGUUAGCAUUAGAAG